rnacentral:lncRNA from 1 species
AAACAUUUAACACAAGACGUGCCAAGAAGGGACGAAAAGUACAUAAGAGACACAAAUACAAAAUGAACCAAAAUCCUCCAAAUAUGACUCUCACCAAAAAGUGAGACACCCACAAAGCCCUUACACCUCAAACAAACUAGUGGUUUCCACCAUAAUUGACAUAAUUCCGCAUUAAAACUCUCCCCUUUUAGUUAUCCACCACCAAAACAAAAUUUUAAUUUGUUCAAUCACUACCUCCAAAUUAAAAUCAAUAUGGUUAAAGAUAAC